rnacentral:rRNA from 1 species
GCUCAGUAACACGUGGACAACGUACCCCAAUGUGGAGCAUAAUCUCGGGAAACUGAGGAUGAUUCUCCAUCCACCAUGAGAUCUGGAAUGACUUAUGGUUCAAAGUUCCGGCGCUUUAGGAUCGGUCUGCGGCCUAUCAGGUAGUAGUGGGUGUAACGUACCCCCUAGCCGUUGACGGGUAUGGGCCUUGAGAGAGGGAGCCCAGAGUUGGAUUCUGAGACACGAAUCCAGGCCCUACGGGGCGCAGCAGUCGCGAAAACUUCACAAUGGGCGAAAGCCCGAUGAGGGAAUUCCUAGUGCUAGCACUUUUGUGCUAGCUUUUCUUCAGCGUAGAUAACUGGAGGAAUAAGGGCUGGGUAAGACGGGUGCCAGCCGCCGCGGUAAUACCCGCAGCCCGAGUGGUGGUCGAUUUUAUUGAGUCUAAAACGUUCGUAGCCGGUCUAAUAAAUCCUUGGGUAAAUCGGAAGGCUUAACUUUCCGAAUUCCGAGGAGACUGUUAGGCUUGGGAUCGGGAGAGGUAAGAGGUACUUCAGGGGUAGGGGUAAAAUCCUGUAAUCCUUGGAGGACCACCGGUGGCGAAGGCGUCUUACUAGAACGAAUCCGACGGUGAGGGACGAAGCCCUAGGUCGCAAACGGGAUUAGAUACCCCGGUAGUCUAGGGUGUAAACGCUGCAGACUUGGUGUUGGGGGCCCUUCGGGGGCAUUCAGUGCCGGAGAGAAGUUGUUAAGUCUGCUACUUGGGGAGUGCGUC